AAUAACCAAAUAUCAUACUCGGGCUAAGGGACAAGUUGGUAAUUUUUCUUACAUCUCCCCCUCCCAGAGCCCAGGUAUCAUAUAUGCCCCCAAAUAAAGAGUCUUAAAUACUAAAAAAAAGCACCUAUACCUAACAAUAUUAAGUGAAUACCUAAAAUUGUGGUCAUUUUAUUUUGAUCUUUCUA
rnacentral:antisense_RNA from 1 species